AGCAGUGUGGUCUAGUGGUUAGGGCAUGGGCCUGGGAGUCAUUAGGACCUGGGUUCUGAUCCCAGCUCUGCCA
rnacentral:tRNA from 1 species